AGUAGAGCGAGAUGGAGACCUAAAGAGAGAAAGCUGAGAGAAGGGGGAAGACAUGGACAGGGUAAGAGAGAGAGAAAGGAGAGAGAGAAGAAAGGGAAAAGAGGAGCGGGGAGAGAAAAGAGAGGCAGGAGAGAGAAUGAGGGGACAGAAGAGAGUAGGGAGACGAGAAGGCGGAGGACAGAAGAAAUGGGGGAGAGGGAAGAGGACAGAGAGGCUGCGCGCCUCUGAAUACGCCAAGUCCAGCAGAGCUGGAGGCCUGUGAGAGGAGCUGCAAGCUUGAGCAAAGGGAGAGAGGUGAGCGGAUGAAGGGAGAUUGGCAUACAACUUAGGAUUCAUAACUACAUAUAUACGGAUAGAAGUGCAUGAACAGAAAAUCUGCCCUUCUGGAAUACCAAAUGCAAAAUUAAAGUGACUACAAGCAGAAUUUGGAGAAAAAAAUAAAAGAUGCAAUAUAGUUUUUAAAAUCAUUGUUAAAAUAUAAUGAGUCUGUACUUUGCUUAAACAAUAAAAAAGUCUUCGAUUUAUA
rnacentral:lncRNA from 1 species